rnacentral:rRNA from 1 species
GAUGAACGCUGGCGGCGUGCCUAAUACAUGCAAGUCGAGCGAACAGACGAGGAGCUUGCUCCUCUGACGUUAGCGGCGGACGGGUGAGUAACACGUGGAUAACCUACCUAUAAGACUGGGAUAACUUCGGGAAACCGGAGCUAAUACCGGAUAAUAUAUUGAACCGCAUGGUUCAAUAGUGAAAGACGGUUUUGCUGUCACUUAUAGAUGGAUCCGCGCCGCAUUAGCUAGUUGGUAAGGUAACGGCUUACCAAGGCAACGAUGCGUAGCCGACCUGAGAGGGUGUUCGGCCACACUGGAACUGAGACACGGUCCAUGCUCCUACAGGUGGCAGCAGUAGGGAAUCUUCCACCAAGCGCGCAAGCUUGACUGAGCAACGCCGCAUGAAUGAUGGAGGUCUUCGGAUCUUAAAACUCUGUUAUUAGGGAAGAACUAAUGUGUAAGUAACUAUGCACGUCUUGACGAUACCUAAUCAGAAAGCUACGGCUAACUACGUG